CCUGAAAAAAACGGCCGCAGAUACCCUGGAGGAUGGCAGAGACUGGAGAAGGGCUCCACAAAUGCCAAAUUGAAGAAAGAGAGAAGUAUCAGCUCCAGUACCCUAAACCUGAAAGUGGACAUGCAUUGUUAAGGAGAUACUUCUGGGUGAAACAUUUGGCAUUCAUGACAGAGGGACCUGAAAAUUGUGGUCAAGGCUUGAAUCUUAAGAAUUCUUUCUCCAUUCUCAGCUUUGUUCUCCUGCUUUUCUGGUUGUGAGUGAAAAUCCAGAGGAAGAUAGGUGCCAGCCAAGGUAUUGGCAAUGCAAACACAUGUGAGUAUGUAAUUCUUCUUCAACUCAAAUUGCACCUCUGUUGUCAGGAGAUGGGAAGAUUUCUCCUGUUGGUUUGUGUAUUUCAAGUGUAUUCAGGAGUUAUUCAAGGAUCUUAGCUUAAGUUCAUAUAGGACUCUUUAAUAAUUAUGGUAAGUUAGGUCCUGAUCAAUGAGUAAUCUUCCAAGGUAAAUGCAAGAGUUGGUUAUAGAUACUACAAAGGCUGUGUUUUCUCCGAGAUGGUGACAGAACUUUUUGUUUUUUCACCCAUCCCAUGACCUCAUUGGAUAAAUAAUGAAUUCAUAGAUCAUUUUAGUGCCUGAGAUUAGCCUGGGCAUAUGAUGAAUAUUGGUGACAGAGAUGAGUAAGACAAGAUGUUUACAGUUAGAAGGAAAGUUAAGUUUUCAGCUAUGUAUUCAGUCAAUCCAACAUUAUAGGUAUUGGGGUGUAGGGAGUAGGUAUAUUCAUCAGAAACACAUGAGAGUUUUGUAAAUUAAAGGAAAUGAGGAGUAACAUAUUUAUUUCCCCCAAUUUUAAUUUUCUUCCAGUUUUGAUGGAAUAUAUUUGUACAUUUGGAAAUACUUUUUUAAAAGAUUUAAAAAAUGUAUUUAUAAAGUCUACCUCAUUGUUUGCACUCACUGUGUGCUUUCCGUGUCUUUUCAUUGUGUGCUCAUCUGUAUAAGAGGAACCAGGAACUGAACCCAGGCCCUCCGAUGUGGGAGGGAGACACCUGAUGGCUUCAGCCACCUCUUCUGCUUAUUGUCUCUCAUUGUGUUUCCUCUUUGUUUCUCUUCACUGCAUCAUCUUCUUGCAUCAGCUUGCCAUGUCAGGCCAUUACAUCUUUGUCUCCUCAUUGCAUCAUCCUGUUGUUCAACUCAUAUGCCAGCCCUUUGUGACAGUUUGCUGUCUUGGUCAUCUUCUUUAGGGGAGCACCAGGAACCAAACCCAGGGCCUCCCAUGUUAUAGGCAGAAAUUCAACUGCUUGUGCUAUAUACACUU
rnacentral:lncRNA from 1 species